GACAGAGAGCAUCUCAGGGUAGAAGGAGAAGAAAGAUGGUGGCAGUCAGCAAGGUGCUUGGUCUGCAGAGAUGGAUGGAUGGAUGCUUUUCUCUCUCUCUUCCUUACAGCUCUGCCAACUUUCAAGUCUUUUUGAAGGAUAGUGGCACACACCAGUUCUGCUUGGAAGCUGAUGGUAAGUUCCAGGAAUCCUGUUUCUGUCUCCAGUAACAGAGUUAUAGGAGCUCACCUCCCCAUCAGGCUUCUUGUGUAAAGACCAGUUGACCUUGUCAGUGAAUGAGUGCCAGAGGAGUCCAAGAAGCUCACACACUGUAGGACAUACUUGGAAAAGAGAAUUGUCCUCUUAAAAUGAUGCACGAGGAGGCCGAGUGCCAGAUGCUUUGACAUUUGGGGAAGAAACAGUUUGCAGACAUCCUGGCCUGGAGCAAUGCCUGCUUCUGCCUGAAUACUCACUCACCCAGGACUGCA
rnacentral:lncRNA from 1 species